GCGCGCCGCUGCUUCCCCUUCCGGCGGGCGCUGACCUUGUCCGGGCGCCGCCGCUCGUCCCGCGGAGCCGCAGCCAUGGUGGCGUACUGGCGACAGGCCGGGCUCAGUUACAUCCGCUACUCCCAGAUCUGCGCCCAGGUCGUCAGAGCGGCCAUGAAGCCGCAGUACAAAGCAGAGGCAGAGAGGGCGGCAAUGGCCAGUGUGAAAACCGUGAAGCCCAAGAAGGAAUAGAGACAAGUGCAACAGUGUCCUGCUUCACAGGAAAAAAUCCAGUGUGCAUCCAGAAUGGGCAUUGGGUUUGUGUUCCCUUAGACACUUCUGCUGCUGACUUGAACAUGAGAUCUUACAUCCUUCACAGUGUAUAAUAAACUCUUCUUGGCAUCCUGGUACUGCUGGUACUCAGACACAAGGUCGUUGGUGUUACCUUCUGCUUCAGAAAACUCCAUCUCAUCCAUCCCUUCACCGGUGUACCAAUGGAGAAAUGCUUUUCUCCUGAACAUAGCUGAGAACUGUUCAGAAACCCUGAUGAAGAGCUCCUGAAUGGCUGUGUUAUUGCCAAUGAAGGUAGCUGCCAUCUUCAAGCCUCUUGGUGGUAUGUCACACACAGCCACUUUGACGUUAUUAGGGAUCCACUCCACAAAGUAGGAACUAUUCUUUGUCUGAACAGCCAGCAACUGCUCAUCCACUUCUCUGGUCGACAUUCGGCCUCUGAAGAUGCACGCCACGGUCAAGUACCGCCCACGCCGAGGGUCGCAGGCUGCCAUCAUGUUCCGGGCAUCAAACAUCUGUUGAGUAAGCUCUGGCACCGAGAGGGCUCUAUACUGUUGGCUACCUCGAGCUGUCAGCGGAGCAAAGCCUGGCAUAAAGAAAUGCAGGCGAGGAAAAGGCACCAUGUUAACAGCCAGCUUCCUCAGGUCUGCGUUCAGCUGGCCGGGAAAACGGAGUGAGGUGGUGACACCGCUCAUCGUUAGGGACACCAAGUGGUUGAGGUCGCCAUAGGUGGGAUUGGUGAGCUUUAAAGUUCUAAAACAUAUAUCGUAUAGAGCUUCAUUGUCAAUGCAGAAGGUUUCAUCUGUGUUCUCUAUUAGUUGAUGGAUGGAGAGGAUGGCAUUAUACGGCUCUACGACUGUGUCGGACACUUUGGGUGAAGGCACGACACUGAAAGUGUUCAUAAUCCUGUCGGGAUAUUCUUCUCUGAUUUUGUUGAUGAGGAGCGUGCCCAUACCUGAGCCUGUACCACCACCAAGUGAAUGGAUGAGCUGGAAUCCCUGGAGGCAGUCACAGCUCUCACACUCAUUCCUGACCACAUCCAUGACAUUUUCAAUCAAUUCAGCACCUUCUGUGUAAUGGCCCUUAGCCCAGUUGUUUCCAGCACCUGAAUUGCCUGUAACCAGAAAGACAGAAAGAACAGCCACAAAGUUAACAAGAGAAAUGAUUAAAGGGAGCUAAAAGGCCAUUUUAGGACAGUUGGCCCUAGUUAGCUUGCUGACAGCAUGCUGUACAUACCGUGAAUAAAAUUGUCCGGUCGAAACAGUGGGCCUAUUUUGCUGGAUCGUACACUGUCCAUCGUACCAGGCUCCAGGUCCACCAAGAUCGAACGGGGCACGUACUUAUGGGCUAGGACAAAACAAAAGGAACAUGACCAAUUACUGUUAGAAGCCAGAAAGAAAGGCUUAUCAUCUACUCUCAAAACAUCCAAUCCAUCUAAAGGCAUUUGGGCUUUGUUUUUAAUUAUGACUUCUUUUAACCUUCAUGUUGGCUCUGCAAAUUGCCAACAGCCUCAGAGUGCUGAGCACUUACAGUAAGCCUCAUUGAAGUACACGUUGAUGCGCUCAAGCUGCAGUGAUGCAUCCCCAUAGUAGUUUCCAGUGAUGUCAAUUCCAUGUUCAUCACCUAUCACCUCCCAGAACUGAAAAAGGAAAAAGAUAUUCAAUACACUCAUCAAAAGGUUGUUUCGUUUGUGUGUGUUUUUUUUUUCCCAGCACAAUGUGUUCAGCUCCAGGCUCAUGCCUGGCUGCACACAGACUGGGAACUGUGCCUGAAGUGGGGGGAUGUUUUGCUAUUGAUGUAUUAGAGCAGGUAUCUGCUUCUCCUUCCCUCCCCAAAUAAGUUCAAGGCAAAAUUUAGUAGGCUAGUUAUGCUACUUAGCUAUCACCCAUGCACCAAGUGGAAGCCCUCAAGUUGUUCCCUUUGCAGUAAAUGAGAAUUGAUAUUAGUUAAAUAACUCAGGUGCUAGUUGUUAAUGAGCUUAACAAAAAAGUCAGGGCUGGAGGUGGACUGGUGAGGGUUGCUUUGAGGCUGUCCUGUACAAGUGGGACUGUGGCACAGCAAAGCUGCCUCAAACACAUUUGUAAGUGAGCAAUGCUUUCCACAAACAGAUGUUCGUCCUAAGUGUCCUAUCUUGACAUUCAUAUGGAUGUCCUAUACUGGGGCUCUUAUCUAGGCAGCAGACACAGCACUGUUAAUGUAGACACACCCACACUCUAUAAUGACCAGGCUACUUUAAUUUUAAAGGUCUCCUGGUUUAGCAUCCAGUCAUGUUUUGAGUGUACAAAUACACCAUUGCCAGCAUGUGUGUGGUGAUUAGUGUGUCCUUUUCUACAAGUAUUAGACAUAAGCAGUUUCCAGAUCAAAGCCAACAGAAAAGAACACAAGUCUUUUGACUGUCACACUGGCUGCAUUCAAACUAUCUGAGUCUAAUAAGACAUUCCCUGGCCAUCCACAGCUUCAGGCUCCAAUAAAAGGAAUCAAGAUGACAUUUGUGUGAGCAAGAAAUGAACACAAUGGCACCAUCCUUCAGCUAUCGUGCCUCCAACGACCUUCCAGCCACAAAUUAACACAGAUUUUUUUCCUGACAACUUUCUACUUGUCAAUAAAAAAAAGGACAGCGUAGCAAAAACCAA